rnacentral:miRNA from 1 species
UGAGAGGCUGUCAGUUUGUGGGG